rnacentral:rRNA from 1 species
AUACGUAGGUGACAAGCGUUAUCCGGAUUUACUGGGCGUAAAGGGCGUGUAGGCGGUCUUGCUAGUCAGAAGUGAAAUUCCUGAGCUCAACUCGGGCGCUGCUUCUGAAACUGCAGGACUUGAGUGCUGGAGGGGAUAGCGGAAUUCCUAGUGGAGCGGUAAAAUGCGCAGAUAUUAGGAAGAACACCGGUGGCGAAGGCGGCUAUCUGGACAGUAACUGACGCUGAGGCGCGAAAGCGUGGGGAGCAAACAGGAUGAGAUACCCUGGUAUUCCACGCCGUAAACGAGGAAUACUAGGUGUGGGAGGUAUCGACUCCUUCCGUGCCGGAGUUAACGCAAUAAGUACCCCGCCUGGGGAGUACGGCCGCAAGGCUUAAACUCAAAGGAAUUGACGGGG